ACCCCGGGCUCGCUGUAAUUCAGGAACAACACCCCACCCACCCCCGCCCACUGCCUGGCUGCCUGGUAAAGGUAGUCUGGCUCCCGUGGUUUGUGGAGGCAAGGGGUGGAGCCUCACCUCGGCAGAGGAGUAGCCAGAGGAAGAGUAUCUGGACAUGUCAAAGUCAUCGUCGCUGGCCAUGAGAAGAGCGAGAGAGAAGAGGCUGCCCAUGCUGCCGUUCUUCAGGGAACCCUUCCGGGCCAGCUCCCGUUGCUUCUCUGCGGAGAACACGGGAAAGAAGCUGUGUCCUGCCCAGCGGCUGCCAGGCCCUGCUGCUGGGGGCGACCUGAUCUGGGCCUUUCCUGCAGACGCGUACUUCUGUAGUGAUCCCACGGACCGCCAGGCACCUGACGCUCGGUGGACAUGCAUAACUGAGGUGGACAGACAGCUGAAAAGAGGAGGCUGACCCUACCCUGUGGGAACCACAGUUACUAUGUCAGGCAGCCGGCCUGUGCUUGAUGUCAAGGAAUGGCUAGAGAGGAAGAGAUGAACACAGAAGGCUGGAGCAGUCAGAGAGGCCUUCCCUGAGGAAAGUAUGUACAAAAGCAACCCAAGAGGACAUAGCUGCGGGCGUGAACGGAACGGAGGGAGAUGAGGGUCUAGACGACCAACUGGCCAAUCUAAGCAAGGACUCAAGACUAAAAAGAAGGGGAAAAAAGUCGAGUGAGGACUUCUGAAGUUCUCAGAUGAGCUCUAAGCAGUGUCUCCCGAUGGAUGGGAAUGGUGCCUGAGAAGACGGACCUGACAAACCAGCGGACCACGUGGCUUUGUGCUGUCCUGAAAGCAGGACACGUGAUGCAGGUGACAGGGAGGACAGGCAGGCUUUCAUUCUGCUUGUGCAACCUUUGCACUCUCCCCUGCACUAUCUCUCAAUAGCCUCCAGCUCUGGGCCAGACCCCGUGCUUCCCAGAGUCCUUAGCUAGCCCUGCUAUCUCUCCAAAAUGCCCUCGAUGUACGAGGGCCCCUGUCUAUGCCAUCUGUGACAAGCACCUCCUUUUUAAUGGGGGGGACAAAAGAUUUUAUUCAGGUUACACACCACUUGCAUCUACAUUUGAAACUGGUUUACAAUCAUUUCUCUAUUAUAUGCAGGCAUAUGAGUUUAGUUGCAAUCCUUUUUCUGACAUAAACAAAGAUAUUUUUAAUAUUUUUCAUAAUUGUCAGAUUCACAAUUAUAAAGGGAGCUAAAGAUGAGCUUCUCUUAGAAUGAAAAACUCUCAUUUUCAAUGUUUUUAUACUCAGGCCAGUAGGUUUGGCUUAGCAGUUGAGUUCUUGCAGAAGACCUAGGUUCGCUUCCUAAUACCUACAGGGAGGUCCAGAGCCUUCCGAUCCAAAGCCGUCUGAUGCCUGUGGCGCCAGGCACACAUGUGGUGCGUAUGCAUGCAUACAGGCAAAAUGCACAUACAAGUAAAAGAAAAUUUGAAAAGUUUUUAUUCUUCUCAAAUUUCAUACAGAGUAUUUUGAUCCUAUUCAUCCCUACUCCUCCCCUGACUCCUCUCAGGUCCUCCCUUUCCUCCCCACUCCUCAAAUUUCUGUCCCUUUUCCUCUCUCUCUCUCUCUUUCUUUUUCUUUCUUUCUUUCUUUUUUAACUUUUUUUUUCUUUAAAAAAAUAAAAAAACUAACCC
ensembl:processed_transcript Gm12404 predicted gene 12404